GCCUUAUACAUGCAAGUCGAACGAGAAAGUAUCUUCGGAUACGAGUAAAGUGGCGGACGGGUGAGUAAUACAUAGGAAUCUACCCAAUGGAGGGGGAUAGCUCGAGGAAACUCGAAUUAAUACCGCAUAAUCUCUACGGAGUAAAGGGGGCUUCGGCUCUCGCCAUCGGAUGAGCCUAUGCAGGAUUAGCUUGUUGGUGAGGUAAUGGCUCACCAAGGCGACGAUCCUUAGCUGGUUUGAGAGGAUGACCAGCCACAUCGGGACUGAGACACGGCCCGGACUUCUACGGAAGGCAGCAGUAGGGAAUAUUGGACAAUGAGCGAAAGCUUGAUCCAGCCAUGCCGCGUGUGCGAUGACGGCCUUAGGGUUGUAAAGCACUUUAGGUAACGAGGAAAAGUUAGGUGUUAA
rnacentral:rRNA from 1 species